CGCAGAGAAGGGGGAUUCAGGACUGGUGAGGAAGAGGUUGUAUUUAAAAAGUGAGUGAAGAAAACUCUAAAAUUAAUAAAUAAAUAAAUAAUAAAAGAUCCCAGCAAACUCAGUGGUUAAGAGCAUGUUUCUGUGGUACAGUGUGGGAAAUGUUAAUAAUGCUGAGAGCUGGGCUCACAUUUUUACAUAUGCUUUUUAUAUAACGUAUUUUACAUAACGUAUACUAUCAUGUGAGCGUGAAGUGUAUUUUAUUUGAUUAUAACUUUUCCAAUCCCCCCACUAAGUAGGCUAAAUAUAGUAAGUAAUACAGUUAAGCUAAAGUGUGUUAUUAUGCUCAUUUGUGUUAGUCUUCAUACUGUGUAAUCAUUUUUAACAGGUGGGGUUGCUGUGAUCAUAGACUGUGUGCCUGAGAUUAUUAAGCAUUUCAACUUAAAUUAAAGUAAUACUGAGCCAGGAGCAGGAGAAAACGAACAUCUUGGAACAAUCAAAAGCUUUUUGCUGGCAGGGCCGGUGCGAGCUGACGUCAGUCCCUGCGAGCUGACGUCAGUAUACACUGACGUCAUUCUGUGAAACGUUGUCCUUGUUUGAUGUGUAGUAUCAAUGCAGUAGUCAUUUGGACAUUUGGACUGUGGAGGUGGGUAAGUGUAAGACAUGCAAAUGAGAGCUUAGAAAUUAAUUCAGGAUCAGAUAUAUCGACUGCCAUACGAAUGGACCAUAGAAACAAGGGAUAUUUCUUGUUUAUUUAUACACCACUUCGAAUUUAAUAAUCACUUAAUUAUUAACUCUAUCUUUAUUUCACAGCUUGUCUUUUGUUCUUUCUACCUACCCUCACCUCAAAUGCCCCUGGCCUUGGUUCCCUUGCAACUGCCUGGAAAUCAGUGCUAUAUUAAAGGAGAACUGUUGUACUUUUCCUUGUUUUCUAUAACACAUAUAUUUUCAAAAUGCUGGUUCCCCCACCUGAACAUAGCCAAAGUCUAAAAUAAAUGUCAGUAUAAAUAGCCUUGGCUUGGUAUGAUGUCAGAUAGAGCAGAUAUGGUCAGAUAUAGAGGCUCCACCCACAUACUGCUGAAAUGUUUUGUUUGUGGAGGCAGCAAACCAAAAGAAAUGGUUUAAAACGAAAGGGUUGGAUUAUUUUGAACACUGAAUCAUGCAAAGCUACUUUAUCAGAGUCUAGGAAUAAUGCAGUUUAUGUUGAAAACAAUAUUUUGUUCUUAGAAUGUUGACAAUUUUUACUUAACAUCGCAAACAUUAACAAUGGCAGUGUUUUAUAACUGUUGAUGACUAUGAUUUACUAAAUGCAAUUAAUUUGUAUUUUUGCUGAGAUGUAAUACUUGGAUACCUUACUACUUACUACUAUUUAUUACUUACCUUCCACAUACAAUCUUGGUGACCUUUGCCCCUCCACCCCCAGAGCUCUGCAACAAGUUGAUGAUGCAGUUUGCUGCGUUGUGAGUAAUGGCCGAGGUGUCGGUGUUGACUGGAGGUAAAUGUAAACACUGCACCAUGCUGAGGAGCCGAACGCACAACUACAGUGUAAAGUCCCACUGCCAGUUUUUACUUUCCUAUGGCAACUGUUUGAAUUUAAUAUGUUUUCACAACACAACAUUUUUUUCAUUAUGUAAAAACGUGUCUAGCAUCUUUUUAUUAUUGUUGUCCACACUUGGCCCACACCGGUUCGCAUACAUACUGUAGCUAAUAGAUCAACUGAAGACACCAUUGUUACACCAUUGUUGCAAAGCUCCACAAAGCUGGUAGUCGACUUCAGAAGGAGGAAAUCUGUGCUGCAGCCCAUCAGCAUCAAUGGGGAGUGCACGGAUAGGCAGUCCAGCUUCUAGUUCCUGGGUGUGCACAUAGACACAGACGUCAAAUGAGCUCUAACACCUUGUAAAGAAGAAAAAUGGACCUGAAGAGGGAGCUGCUGAGCAUCCACUACUGUUGCUCCUUUGAAAGUGUGCUAACAUACUACAUCACUGUGUGGUUCUCCAGCUGCACCAUGGCACACUAAAAGGCACUUCAAAGGGUAAUUAAUAUGAUUUGGAUAUGAUAUGAAUAUGAUUUAAUAAAAAAUCAUUGGACAUCCUUUUUGCUCCCCGAAGGACCUGUACAGCCCUCGCUGUCUCAAGAGGGCACGCAGCAUCCUACAGGAUUGCACACACCCAGGACACUGUGCGUUUAAGCUGCUGCUGUCUGUCAGGAGAUUCAGGUUGCUGAGGUCACAGACAAACAGACUCAAGGACAGCUUUUACAAUGGGGCAAUAGCCCUAAUCAGUGCUAUCAGCUGACCUGAUUGGCUACCUCCCUCGAAUUAUUUGGGGGACAAUAAUGUGCAAUGAACAUUCAUUCUUUAAUUUAUUAAGUCGUCCUUUUUUUUGCACCUUUCAUCCACUUUAAAGUUUACUGUGUUGUGUUUUGUUGUGUUUAGUUGUGCUUAGUGCCAACGUUGGACAGUUUUCCAUUUUCGUUAUAUAUUGUACUAAAUAUGACUGUGCAAUGAUAAUAAACAGUUAUCUUAUCUUAUAUGUUUAUUAUAAACCAUUUUUAAAAAUAAUAGUUUUAUAUGUCAUAAAAAUAUGACUGACAUACAUGUUUAUUACUUCCUUUUUUACUUUCUCCUGUCAUAAAUCAGGGUCAUAAAUCACAUCUUUUGACACAAAGUAUAUGAUCAUCUGUAAUCGUACUUAUUAAGUAACACAAAAAGACCUCAGUAAGAAUAAAACUUUAAAAACAAAACAAAACAACAACAACACUAGCUGGAGAAAUUUUUCUCCAUGUCUUGGCGCUUGCGCUGUAUUUGUCAUGGUCCUGAGGCUGACGACUCAGUGUUUUGUGUUUCCUUAUAAUAUUCUAUGUUCUUGUUUAUUCUGGUUAUGUCUUUAGUUAAGAUUUGUCAUUUGUUAGGUUUCUAACAAAUGCCUGCCCUGGUCCCACUUCUCUGUGUUCCCUCUGUCUGUCCAUGAUGUCAUAGUGUCUGCUCGUGAAUCUGUCUGUUAAGUUCAGUGUCUAGUUUGGAUCUCUGUGUCCGUUGUGUAUUUCCUGUUUUACUUUGAAGGUCCAUGUCUUAUGUGAGUGUUUCUAGUUUUGCUUCCCUUUGGUCUCGUCAUGUCUGAUUACUCCCAGCUGUGCUCUCCUUCUGUGUCUCAUUCCCUCGUUAUCCCUCUGUGUAUUUAAGCCUUGUGUUUGCCUCUGUUAGUUGCUGGUCUGUCUAUGUUGUUUCCCUGAGUCUCCCUGUUGUUCCUCUGUGUAUCACCCUGAGAGUUUUGACCUAAUUACCAUAUGUUUAGGUUUUCCCAGUUUUAGUUUAUUUCUUAGUUCCUGUCCUCGCCAUCUCCACUAAAAUAAACUUACUUCUCAUAUCAACCUCUGCCUGCACUUGGGUCCUUACUUCACCUCCACACGUCUGUUAUCGCAGCCGUGACAGUAUUUCUCUGUUUUUCUUAUUCUGCUCUUCUUUUUCUUUCAAUAUUUCUGUCAUUUGCUGCAUUUUUGUCAUUUCUGGUGCUGUCUCUGAGAUACCUUGAUACAAAUACUCUGUACAGGAUCCAGAUCUUUCCAAAUUCUUUUCACUUGAACCCAAGUCGCUGCUUCUGACCACGUGGCAUAGUUUGUGUCAUGAUCUGGAAAUGUGCCUGGAAAAUUCCAUCAGGUACCUGAGUUCUUUGGUCUCCACCCCUGGGCGGAGCCAUCUUUCCUGCAGUCCUGCACACCUGAAGCUGAUUCUGGGUAAUCAGGUUGAGGAUUUAUGACCUGACGUUGGUAUCGGUUUUCAUGCUCUUGCUACUUUUUUUGUCGCUUACCUUAUUUUCCUGUGCCACAGUUUCCCUUGACCUUCUUCACCACUGCCUUCAACCUCAGCGCUUCUCGGGUUACCUCUGCAAUGCGGAGAACCUUCCCUGUCUGCCCCCCAGCUAUCACUCACCACCUCGGACGCAGUGGAACUCAGGUCAGCCAGCCUUUGCCAAUACUCACCCAGAUUCUCGCCGCCUCUUCCUCAAAGCCAAGUUCACCCCAGCUAUCAACUCACCCGCUCCAUUCCCAUCGCACCUGUCAAGGCCGCCUCACUAGUAAGACUUUGCUACGAAUUAAUCUGUUUUCUCAAUAAAACACUGUAAAAUGUA